GGAUUCCAAGCGGUAUACAAAUGCACUCAAAAACGAAAAUGGUAGAUUAAAAGAGCAAAAUCUGCUCUUAACAGACAAGCUAAAUACUGUGUCCUAUAUCGUAUCAGAUCUGAACACAAAAAUCAAAGAUCUCGAAGACGAGAAAGCAUCUCUAGUAACGACCAUCAAGAUUAUCAAGGCUGAUACACCUAAUGAGUCUCAAUCAACUCAGUCUACGCUAGCUUUGAAGACAAACAUUUCGAAAAAUCAAGCCAGUCAAUCCAGAAAUACUGAAGUGCCUUCGACCGACGAUGACGACGGAGAAUCAAUAUCAGUUCCAGAAGAAAUAACAAAUAAAAAGAAGAAAAAAACCAAGAAAUCGGCUAUGACGAAAAAUGCAAGCAUAGGUGCAAUGCCCCAAAACCCACCCAUGCAAGAAAAUGUAAAUGAGAAUCAAGAUGCCAACUUGCAGAAUUAAAAAAUUUAAAAAGAAAACCACUAUAAUAGCCGGGGACUCCAUCGUCAAAAACAUCCAAGGUUGGCGGUUGUCUGAUUCUAAUAAUCAUGUUGUAGUCAAGAGUUUUUCGGGAUCCACUAUCUCUGACAUGGAAGACUAUCUUAAGCCAAUUAUCCGGAGGGAACCCAGCAAAAUCAUUCUACAUGUCGGAACUAAUGACAUCAACCAUCUGACUGCCCAACAAAUCGCCAAAGGAGUUGCAAAUCUUGGAACGCAAAUCAGUCAAGACUCCCCAAGAAC